rnacentral:rRNA from 1 species
GUGCCAGCCGCCGCGGUAAUACGGAGGGUGCGAGCGUUAAUCGGAAUUACUGGGCGUAAAGCGCAUGCAGGUGGUUUGUUAAGUCAGAUGUGAAAGCCCGGGGCUCAACCUCGGAAUUGCAUUUGAAACUGGCAGACUAGAGUACUGUAGAGGGGGGUAGAAUUUCAGGUGUAGCGGUGAAAUGCGUAGAGAUCUGAAGGAAUACCGGUGGCGAAGGCGGCCCCCUGGACAAAGACUGACGCUCAGAUGCGAAAGCGUGGGGAGCAAACAGGAUUAGAAACCCGAGUAGUCC